rnacentral:misc_RNA from 1 species
AAGGAAAAAAAUCAUCUUCAGUUUUGAAAGACUUAGAUUAUAUAAGUUUUUCUUUUAGGUAAAU